GAAAGAGCCGCUCACAUCAGGAGAACAUUAAGUAUUUGUAGCGUGUGAUUCCCUUGUGUUUUCAGUCUGUGAAACAGCUGUUUGUCCCUUCACCAGGCAGUGAUGGCAGCAGCAGCGUUCAGGAGCAGAGGACUGGCUGGUGUCAGAAACAGCAACGUUUUAAUCCUCAUCUUUCUGCUGUCCCUGGUUUAUGUCACAAAUUCACUGACGAAAGCAGAAUACAAGAAGAAAGAAGCAAGUGAACUUGAUGAAAAACUACAGUUUCUUCAAUCUUUGGAAGAACUAAUAAAGACAUCGUCAGUUUUUGAGGAUUUUCCUGCAAUGAUGGACGUAGUAAAUAGUUUGAGACGCUUCUACAAGAGAACCAUCAUCCCAUCAGACAGAGAGGAAGAAGAAAAAUGGUGAAAAUGGGGAAAUAAAAGAGGAAAACAUGAAAAUCAUCCUAAAACUCAA